CUCCAGGAACAGGGUUGGAGUUAACCUACAGGACGGUAUCUCUCCAGGAACAGGGUUGGAGAGCCCUGGAUCAGAUCCACUUAUCUGUCCCUAACCCUGUGGGACUUGUUAGGAAGAAUCAGCUGUUUUCUAUCUCCUUAAAUUAACACACCUGCCGUGAACCCGUAGACUAGUUUGUUAAAUAAAAUGAAUGAAAUUGUAAAGACAAA